GACGAACGCUGGCGGCGCGCUUAACACAUGCAAGUCGAGCGAGAACCAGGGCUUCGGCCCUGGGGACAGCGGCGAACGGGUGAGUAACACGUGGGUAAUCACCCUCGGCACCGGAAUAGCCCGGGGAAACCCGGAUUAAUGCCGGAUGGCCCGCCGGCCCUGCGGGGCUGGCGGAAAAGGUAGCUUCGGCCUCCGGCCGAGGACGAGCCCGCGACGGAUUAGCUGGCUGGUGGGGUAACGGCCUACCAAGGCUGCGAUCCGUAGCUGGUCUGAGAGGACGGUCAGCCACCCGGGGACUGAGACACGGGCCAGACUCCUACGGGAGGCAGCAGUGGGGAAUCUUGCGCAAUGGGCGAAAGCCUGACGCAGCGACGCCGCGUGAGGGAAGAAGGCCUUCGGGUUGUAAACCUCUUUCAGGAGGGACGAAGCCACUCGGGUUAAUAGCCCAGAGGGUGACGGUACCUCCAGAAGAAGCCCCGGCUAACUACGUGCCAGCCGCCGCCAUAA
rnacentral:rRNA from 1 species